UUCUUCCAGAAUGUCAACAACACAAGACCUUCCAACAAGACAGAGCAGUCGCAGAUGAGACGAACCGUAGCAGUACUACCUAACGCAUGCGCAGAAGGCGUUUUUCAGAACCUACGCUGGUGCCUUCAAUAUCAUGGCAUACGAACUGUCUUCAAAUCGGAAACUACUGCAUAGCUAUCUGGUGUGUCCCAAAGACCUAGUCCCACCCGGCAGACGGUGGACGGCACGUGACUGGGUGUGCAUUACGUCACCAUUCAUGAGAAAAGCCAACAAUAGCAUACCUGGCUAUCAUCAGCAAUAAAUCCUGUCAUCUACGCCUAGGAUAUUAACAUCUCUCACGAGAACGCAUGAACGUGGAAUUCUUCAACAUGGGUGAGAAGGUUUACCUUGCCGUCUCUUCAACUUGCAGCACAGAUAAUAAAAUCAUUAAA